GGGUCGUUAGCUCAGUUGGUAGAGCAUCGGACUUUUAAUCCGCUGGUCGAUGGUUCGAAUCCAUCACGACCCACCA
rnacentral:tRNA from 4 species